CACGGGGGGAGCAAGCGUUGUUCGGAAUCACUGGGCGUAAAGGGCGUGUAGGCGGUCAAGUAAGUGGAAUGUGAAAGCCCCCGGCUUACCCGGGGAUCUGCAUCCCAAACUGCUUGGCUUGAGUACGGGAGAGGAUAGGGGAAUUCCUGGUGUAGCGGUGAAAUGCGUAGAUAUCAGGAGGAACACCGGUGGCGAAGGCGCCUAUCUGGCCCGAUACUGACGCUGAGGCGCGAAAGCCAGGGGAGCAAACGGG
rnacentral:rRNA from 1 species